GCAGCUCCUGGGGCUCGCUCGGGCUCUGUGUCACUCCCUAACAGCUCCGUAUUGGAGCUGCCGGGCCUGGCACCUGAGCAGGGCCUGGCAGCGGCCGCUUGGGCUGGCCUGCUUAAAGCUGGGCUGAGGCAGGCGCGGGUGCAGGGUGGAGAGUGACGUGUGGUCUGUAAGGAGCGGGGCUGAACCUUCCCCCUCGCUCUCCCGGGCAGCCGGCACCGGGGCUGCACGCAGCUCUGUGCCGGCAACACAGCGAGCUGGUGGUUCUGAACUGCCUGCAGGAUGGCGAGCGGGACAGGGAGGUUCUGCAGAUCUGGGAUCUCCGGAUCUGCUUGGGAUGUCGCCGGCGGUGAAGGCGGAGGCAAGCGGCACGCUGGGCAGGAGGAGCACGCGAGGGGCGGCAGUGGCCGCUUCAACAUGGCAAAGCAGGGCAUGGGGCAGUGACUGAUACCUGCAGGGCUGGAAAACCCUACGACGUGCAGCCGUCCCUGCUGCUCCAAGAGGUGCUGAGGAAGCUGGCAAGAGCCUCAGGCCAAAGCACUGAGGAGGGGAGAACUGACACCGCAGCCUGAUGGAGGCAAAGGAGUUGAGGCCAGCCUUCUCCAGUGACAGAUAUUUGCCAAAUAGAUGGUAUUUUUGUGGAAUCUCUUCUUCAGCAAAGGCUCAAGAGAUGCCCUGGAAAAUCCGCUCCUUGUCAAGCCGUUACAGCCCUGCUCAACUGGGAAAGCUGAGGCAAGCUGAUCCCUACCUUCCUCCUUGGCCUCUUGCAAAUACUUCUUUCUCUUUUUUUGAGGCACCUUCUGUGCCUUUUGAAAACACUUUUUUGAUUGCCCAUGUAUAGAAAAGAA